rnacentral:rRNA from 1 species
CAAUAGCGUAUAUUAAAGUUGUUGCAGUUAAAAAGCUCGUAGUUGGAUUUCUGGUUGGAGCGACCGGUCGGGCAUUGAUUUGUCUGCACUGGAGUCGGUUCUGGCCAUCCUCUUGGAAAGUGCGUCUGUAAUUAAGUUGUCGGGCGUAUGAUCCAGGUCUUUUACUGUGAAAAAAUUAGAGUGUUUAAAGCAGGCCUUCGCCUUGAAUACAUUAGCAUGGAAUAAUAAGAUAGGACUUUGGUCUAUUUUGUUGGUUUGCAGACCGAAGUAAUGAUUAAUAGGGAUAGUUGGGGGUAUUUAUAUUCCAAUGUCAGAGGUGAAAUUCUUAGAUUUUUGGAAGAUAAACUUAUGCGAAAGCAUUUACCAAGGAUGUUUUCAUUAA